CAGGCCUAACACAUGCAAGUCGAACGAUGACUCUCUAGCUUGCUAGAGAUGAUUAGUGGCGGACGGGUGAGUAACAUUUAGGAAUCUGCCUAGUAGUGGGGGAUAGCUCGGGGAAACUCGAAUUAAUACCGCAUACGACCUACGGGUGAAAGGGGGCGCAAGCUCUUGCUAUUAGAUGAGCCUAAAUCAGAUUAGCUAGUUGGUGGGGUAAAGGCCCACCAAGGCGACGAUCUGUAACUGGUCUGAGAGGAUGAUCAGUCACACCGGAACUGAGACACGGUCCGGACUCCUACGGGAGGCAGCAGUGGGGAAUAUUGGACAAUGGGGGCAACCCUGAUCCAGCCAUGCCGCGUGUGUGAAGAAGGCCUUUUGGUUGUAAAGCACUUUAAGCAGGGAGGAGAGGCUAAUGGUUAAUACCCAUUAGAUUAGACGUUACCUGCAGAAUAAGCACCGGCUAACUCUGUGCCAGCAGCCGCGGUAAU
rnacentral:rRNA from 1 species